AGGCUCUAUAGUUCAGUGGUAGAACACCAGUCUCGUAAACUGGUAACUCGAGUUCGAUUCUCGAUGGAGCCUG
rnacentral:tRNA from 1 species